UACAGAGGUCCCAAGCGUUGUUCGGAUUUACUGGGCGUAAAGGGUGCGUAGGUGGCGGGGUAAGUCUGGUGUGAAAGCUCCGAGCUCAACUCGGAAAAGCAUUGGAAACUAUCCCGCUUGAGGGUCGGAGGGGAGACUGGAAUUCUCGGUGUAGCAGUGAAAUGCGUAGAUAUCGUAAGGAAGACCAGUGGCGAGAGCGGGUCUCUGGACAGUUCCUGACGCUGAGGCACGAAGGUCAGGGGAGCAAACGGG
rnacentral:rRNA from 1 species